CCGAAGGAGCCCGAAGGACCACGAAGGACGGCGGGGCACGUCGCCCGCCGGCGAGCGAUGAAGCCGCGGAAGAGGGAGGUUGAGCGCCGGGCUGUACAACUCAUACUUACCUGGCAGGGGAGAUACCAUGAUCACUAAGGUGGUUCUCCCAGGGCGAGGCUCAUCCAUUGCACUCCGGGUGUGCUGACCCCUGCGAUUUCCCCAAAUGCGGGAAACUCGACUGCAUAAUUUGUGGUAGUGGGGGACUGCGUUCGCGCUCUCCCCUGAUAA